rnacentral:snRNA from 1 species
CGAGAGUAGUACUAGGAU